GUUUAGCCCUGAUUGAAGCGGUAUCCUUUUUUCUGUCAGUUCGAGUGAAUUUGCUUUUUUUGCAAAUUUGUAUCGAGAACAGAAGAAAAAAGAUAUAGCGAAAAGCAGGAAAUAGC
rnacentral:sRNA from 1 species